rnacentral:rRNA from 1 species
GGGUCAGUAGGUUGGUCGUGCCACCGGUACGUACUGGUCACACUGAUUCCUCCUUCCUGAAAAACCGUAAUGCCAUUAAUUUGGUGUUGCGGGGAAACAGGACUGUUACUUUGAAAAAAUUAGAGUGUUUAAAGCAAGCUAACGCUUGAAUACAUUAGCAUGGAAUAAUGAAAUAGGACGAUCGAUCCUAUUUUGUUGGUUUCUAGGAUUGACGUA